ACUCCUACGGGAGGCUGCAGUAGGGAAUAUUGGUCAAUGGGCGAGAGCCUGAACCAGCCAUGCCGCGUGCAGGAUGACGGCCUUCUGGGUUGUAAACUGCUUUUAUCAGGGAAGAAAAGGGUCCUGCGGCACCGAUUGACUGUACCUGAUGAAUAAGCACCGGCUAACUCCGUGCCAGCAGCCGCGGUAAU
rnacentral:rRNA from 1 species